UGUGAUUAGACUCCGACAGAUGCCGGACGAAAUGGAUGAACAGUGGUGGGAGACUGGGUAAGAAACGAUUCCUUAAUGAAUUACACCACCUAUACACAGAGCCAUGUCUACUGGAAUCCCUGAUAUGGACACUUGGUGUGAUGUGUCUGAAGUUCUCCACAAUUUAAUAUUUCCUGUUUCCUCCGUACGUCCCAGCGUGCAGAGAGAAAAAAAGAAAAAAAGAAAAGCUUCCACCGGAAAUGGUUCUCUGGGGCGCCAUUGUUGAGAUGAAUUAUGUAAAAGAAUACGGUGCAAUGAGUAGACGGGAGACAGAGACGCCCGCAGAACCGACAGAUAUUAUCCCCAAUCAUAGGCACCCGGGGGGCUGGAAACUAUUCCAAAUGCUACAAUUCUGCUCCAGAUGAAGCAAACAAAACACAUUGAGACGACGAUAAAUGGCCACCGCCGAUCAAACCA